AACGCUAGCUACAGGCUUAACACAUGCAAGUCGAGGGGCAGCAUGGUCUUAGCUUGCUAAGGCUGAUGGCGACCGGCGCACGGGUGUGUAACACGUAUCCAACCUGCCGUCUACUCUUGGCCAGCCUUCUGAAAGGAAGAUUAAUCCAGGAUGGGAUCAUGAGUUCACAUGUCCGCAUGAUUAAAGGUAUUUUCCGGUAGACGAUGGGGAUGCGUUCCAUUAGAUAGUAGGCGGGGUAACGGCCCACCUAGUCAACGAUGGAUAGGGGUUCUGAGAGGAAGGUCCCCCACAUUGGAACUGAGACACGGUCCAAACUCCUACGGGAGGCAGCAGUGAGGAAUAUUGGUCAAUGGGCGAUGGCCUGAACCAGCCAAGUAGCGUGAAGGAUGACUGCCCUAUGGGUUGUAAACUUCUUUUAUAAAGGAAUAAAGUCGGGUAUGCAUACCCGUUUGCAUGUACUUUAUGAAUAAGGAUCGGCUAACUCCGUGCCAGCAGCCGCGGUAAUACGGUGGAUCCGAGCGUUAUCCGGAUUUAUUGGGUUUAAAGGGAGCGUAGAUGGAUGUUUAAGUCAGUUGUGAAAGUUUGCGGCUCAACCGUAAAAUUGCAGUUGAUACUGGAUGUCUUGAGUGCAGUUGAGGCAGGCGGAAUUCGUGGUGUAGCGGUGAAAUGCUUAGAUAUCACGAAGAACUCCGAUUG
rnacentral:rRNA from 1 species